UGCAGAUGCUGGAAAUUCAAGCAACACACAUCAAAGUUGCUGGUGAACGCAGCAGGCCAGGCAGCAUCUAUAGGAAGAGGCGCAGUCGACGUUUCAGGCCGAGACCCUUCGUCAGGACUAACUGAAUGAAGACUUGAUGGUUUGAUUUUGAGUCUUGGAACUUACACCAAGUCACUAUCUACACGACUGGAAAUAAUGUCAUUGAAGAAUAUUGGCGAUACUAGAGACUGCAGUGAAACCGCAAUCUGCUUGAGGAAAUCAGCAAUUCGAGCAGCAUCUGCUGAGGGAGAGAAAUUGUGGAAGUUUCAAGUUAUAACUCUGCAUCUGCACACUAAGAUUGGUGCAGCAAUUUGACCCAAAAUGACAAUUAUUGUUGAACAGAAAGUUGUUAUUUUCUCAGAAACUUCCAGGUUCUACUGACAGGUGGACUGUCCAAUUUUACUGGUCAGAGCCCUCAAGAUAAACUGCUUCCUACAGUAUGGUCUGAAAACCAGUCUCUGGUCUCUGACACCUUAUAUAAUGUUUUGAAACAAUUUGAAGAUGCAUGGGCACUUCUAAAGUAUUUCAAAUAAUAUUUUAUUGUAUUUUAAUUUUCUUACAACACAGAAUGCCAUUCAACUUAUUAAGUUAAUGCCAGCCAUCAGAACAAAUACAUCAAUCCCACUCCUUCACUCAUUUCUUCACAACCCAUUCUCUCUCUCAUGUCCAUGAAUUCUAGUUUGAUUCUCCAAUCAUUUAUCUACACUAUGGGUGCUUUACAGUAACCAAGUGUAGCCCCCCGGCCAGCUUCAAGGUCGCUCGGCUCGCUGCCGUCUAGGGAAACAGCCCUUGGACCCGCCAAACUGGGGAAUCAGUUUGUGUGGAUGCUGUGUGAUGUACCCUACCCCGCCCAAAUAACAGACAAUACACCAGAUACAAUUAAAUGAUUUACAGUUUAUAGAUAUUCCUGGAACUAUAUAAUUAAUAGAGAAUAAAAUAUAAAAGGAAAAUAAAAAGCACCACACAUCAAAGUUCAAUCUCUUCGUGCACAAACAGUUGGAGCUCAGGACCCUUCUUCUUCACCCUGCGACACCUUGGAUCACCUCGAACGGUUGGCUGGGACCAACAAGGGUGGUCGACCAGACGCGCCACACAAGUCCGUCUCUGUCUCUAUCUCCAUCUCUUCUCCUCGCUGAACGCUCCGCUCAGGGUCCGACCUCGUUAGCGGACCCACAGCACCUGGUCCAUCCUCUGUCUCUCUAUCCCACCUUCUGCCCCAAACCCCGUGCAUACAAUAUCUUACAGACACACCAAAAGUAUAACAACUAUCCCAAUUGGUUCAAUCGACCUCUUAUCAAUAGAUAAUCCAAAACAAACUGCUAACGGGAGGACUUUCUCAGCAGUUAACAUAACAAAGAAGCCCUUUCAAUUAUAACAUAACAAAGAAGCCAUUUUAAUUAGACUACGCAGUGGCAUAAAAAAAAGAAACCCCCUUACGCAAGUAACCUUGCAACCAAUAUGUCUUUGAAAGUGGGCAGGAGUCAGAACAAAGUAAAUAGGAACAAGGGAGAUCAUGCAAACUUCACACACAAUCUAGCAUCAAAGCCAAGCUAUUGGAAUGUGAGCCAGCAAACCCAUCUACAAAACAAGAAGCAAAAUAAUUAAGCAAAUUCUUUUAAUCUUAUCAUCUUUUAUAUCCCAGUUAAUCCAACAAAUGAAUUAAUACUUUGUACUCCCAAGAUGCCCCAGAGCUAAAAUCCCAGUGACAUUUCAGUUAUCAAGGAUACACAACGUUUUCAACAUCUUUAACUUUUUGAGCGCCGUCCAACACCAUUGAUUUGUGUUUUAUGUUUGAUCUCACAACAUUAAGGCUACAUUUCUCCCCUCUCACACACUUGCCAUUUUCAGUAAACUUCUCCAGUGGCAGUGUGUUAAAAUGUAAGGAGAUCACAAAGGAAUACUGUGUUCUCUAUUAUGUGCACAGUGAGUCAUUUGAUCAUAAAAAUCAUAAUUAUGACAAACAUGACACCCUACUAUCAAAUCCACAAACUGUUCUUAAAACUUUCAUUUUCUAAUGAUGCAUCAAUCUUACUCCUUAACUCAGUGAAGUUUGGUCUCCGACUAACUGCUGUUUCCACUUUGUCAUCCUUAUCCUCUUUGAAUGUAGGAUUGAUUUUCACCCCUCUAAGUUAAUAAUUUAUUUAAAAGUAAUUGGUAAAAUAAUGAAAAAUACUUCACCGUAAAUAUUUCUGCCUGAAUGCACCAUAAAUACACUGCAUCAGUUCUAAUCAUAUGCUACAACAGAAACCGAUGACACAAUACUGUCUAAUAGGGAAUGUGUUAAGCUCCUAAUAUAUGUACUCCAGAUAUUAACCAGAAGUGUGAUGCCAUAAGUACAAGGAAUUAACUGUAACUGUGUUAUGGAUUUUUAUGAGAACUUCAUUGUCCUUCACAUAACCUAAUAUUCCAGAUAAGUAAUUAUUGUAGAUAGAAAACUUUAAUACAUUAAUAUUGAACUGUGAUGUUAUCAGCUUUGCUGACCGCAAAACUCAAAGGAAGACCUUAAGCCUGAUCCAAUACAGAUAGCUAGCUACAGGUACCCUCAUGAAAGAGAGAUUACACUGUAGCAAACUACUCUUCAAAGACUAGCUAAUGUCCCUGUUUAUUCUCCACAGUGAGAUUAGCUGCCAAUAUCCACUAUUUGAGUGGUGGGUCCAUUAUUUGAGUGGAGGAGAUAUAUUGAGCUGACAAAGUAAUUUGUUGAAAUUACUUACUUAACAAAGGACAGAAGGUAUUAUAUUUGAAUGCACAUGCUAUAUGGAAUAAGGUAGAUUAUGUUGUAAUGCAGUUAGGGUUUGGCUGGUAUGAUGUUGUGGAUAUCACUAAGUCAUAGCUGAAAGAAGAUCAUAGUUAAGGGCUUAACAUCCAAGAAUAGAUAUUGGGUCAAAAAGACAAGCAAGUAUGCAGAAGGGGUGGGGUGGCUCUGGUCGUAAGAAAUGAAAUCAAAUCCCUAGAAAGAGGUAACGUAGAAUUGAAAGGUGUAGAUUCCUUGUGGGUAGAGCUGAGAAACUGAAAGGUUAAAAAGACCCUGAUGCAACUUACAUACAGGCUUCCAAACAGUAACCAGGAUGUAUGGUACAAAUUACAACAGGAGACAGAAAAGGCAUAUAGAAAGAGCAAUGUUACAAUUGCUAAAGGGGAUUUCAAUAUGCAGGUAAAUUGGGAAAAUCUGAAUCCUAAGAGAUGGAAUCUGUGGAAUGCCUACAGGAUUGUUUUUUAGAGCAACUUGUGGUUGAGCUCAUGAGCGGAAAGACAAUUCUGGAUUGGAUGUUGUGUAAUGAACCAAUUUUAAUUAGGAAUCUUAAAUUAAGGAUCACUUAGGUGUUAGUGAUCAUAAUAUGAUUGAAUACACCUUACAGUUUGAGAGGAAGAAGCUAAAGUUAGAUGUAUCAGAAUUACAGUGAAGUGAUGGGAAUUACAGAGCCAUGAGAGAAGAGCUGGCCAAGGGGACAGUAGCAAGGAUGACUGCAGAACAGCAAUGGCUAUACUUUCUCAGGACAAUUCGGAAAGCACAGGAUAGAUGCAUUCCAAAGAUGAAGUAUUCUAAAGGGAGGAUGCAGCAACCAUGGCUGACAAGGGAAGACAAAUAAGGCACAAAAACAAAAAAGAGGGCAUAUAAUAUAGCAAAAACAUAGUGGGUGGUAGAGAAUUAGAAAGCUAUUAGAUGCCACCAACAGAAGGGUACUAAGAAUCUAUAAGGAGAGAAAGGUAAGCUCGCCAAUAAUAUCAAAAUUUGAGAGUGUCUGGUGGCAGGACUGAGUGUAGCCACACUUACUAAUGAGAAGGUGCUUGGGAAGCUGAAAGGACUGAAGGUAGAUUUGUCACCUGGACCAGAUGGACAACAGCCUAGAGUUCUGAAAGAGGUGGCUGAAGAUAUUGUGGAGGCAUUAGUAUUGAUCUUUCAUGAAUCACUAAAUUCUGAAUGGCUCUGGAGGACUGGAAAAUUGCAAAUAUCACUCCACACUUCACAUAGGGAUGGAGGCAGAAAGAAGGAAAUUAUUAGCCUAUUAUCCUGACUUUAGUGGUUGGGACAAUGUUGGCGUCCAUUAUCGAGGAUGGGGUUUUGGGGUAUUUGGACGCAUAUGAUAAAGUAGGCCAAAGUCAGCAUGGUUUCCUUAAGGGGAAAUCUUGCCUGAAAAAUCUAUUGGAAUUCUUUGAGGAAAUAACAAAUGAUAAGACGAAGGAAAGUCAGAGGAUGAUGUGUGCUUAGAUUUUCAGAAGGCCCUUGAGAAGCUGCUGGACAUGAGGUUCCUAAAAUGAUAUUGCUAAAAAGAUACCAGCAUGGAUGGAAGAUUAGCUGAUUGGCAAUAGGCAAAGAAUUGGAAUAAAGGAAGCCUUUUCUAGUUGGCUGCCGGUGAUGAGCAGUAUUCCUCAGGGGUCAGAGAUGGGACCACUUCUUUUCACAUUAUAUAUCAAUGAUUUGAAUGAUGAAAUUGAUGGCGUUGUGGACAACUUUGCAUCCAGUACAAAGAUAGGUGGAGGAGCAGGUAGUGCUGAUGAAGAAGGAAGUCGGCAGAAGGACUUUUAUUUUCUAAAUAUGUAUAAUAUUCAAAGAUCAGGGAUGCAAAGGGACUUGGGAUCUCUCGUGUAGGAUUCCCUAAAGAUUAGCAAGCAGGUUGAGUCAGUGGUAAGGAAAGCAAAUGCAAUGUUAGCAUGCAUUUAAGAGGACUAAAAUAUAAAAGCAAGAAAUUAAAUUUGAGCCUUAAUGAGGCUUAAUAAGGUGUUGGUCAGACUGCAUUUGGAGUACUGUGAGCAGUUUUGGGCCCCUUAUCUAAGAAAAGAUGUGCUGGCAUUGAAGAGGAUCAAGAGGAGGUUCACGAAAAUUAUUACAGGAAUGGAAGUGUUAAGUAUCAGGAGCAUUUUAUGGCUCCAGUCCUGUACUCACUGGAAUUUAGAAGAAUGAGUGGUGAUCUCAUUGAAACCUAUCAAAUAUUGAAAGGCCUCGAUAGAGUGGAUGUGGAGAGAAGUUUGCUACAGUGAGUGAAACUAGGACCAGAGGGCACAACCAUAGAGAAGAAGUUCCCCUCCACAACCACCCCCCUCCGUCAAGCGAAAUUUGUCCUCACUCUUAAUGAUUUCCUUUUUGGCUCUCUUUGGCCCCACUUUCUUCAAACAAAAGGUGUAGCCAUGGGCAUUUGAAUGGGUCCCAGUUGUGCCUGCCUUUUUGUUGACUACAUAGAACAAUCUAUGUUCCAAGCCUACACUGGUGGCCAUCUCCCACUUUCCCUACGCUAUAUUGAUGACUGCAUUGGUGCUGCUUCCCGCACCCAUAUGGAAAUUGUUGACUUCAUCAUUUUGCCUCAAACUUCCACCUUGCCCUGAAACUUACCUGGUCCAUUUCUGACUCCUUCCUCCCACUUCUUGAUCUCUCUUUCUUUAUUUCCAGAGACAGCUUAUUUACUGGUGUCUAUUAUAAACCCACAGACUCUCACAGCUACCUGAACUCUACCUCAUCCCACCCUGUUACUUGUACAAACACCAUCCGUUUCUCCCAAUUCCUCUGUCUCCACUGCCUCUGCUCUCAGGAUGAGGCUUUUCAUUUGAGAAAGAAGAAGAUGUCCUCCUUCUUCAAUGAGAGGGGCUUCCCUUCCUUCAGCGUCAACGCUGCCCUCAACCGCAUCUUUUCCAUUUCACGCAUGUUUGCCCUCAACCCAUCCACACUUAUCCUUGCAAGUGGAACAAGUGCUACAUCUGCCCCUACACCUCCUCCCUCACUACCACUCAGGGCCGCAAACAGUCCUUCCAGGAGAGGCAACACUUCACAUAUGAGUCAUAAGAACAUAAGAAAUAGAAGCAGGAGCAGGCCAUCUGGCCCAUCAAGCCUGCCCCACCAUUCAAUAAGAUCAUGGCUGAUCUAUCUGUAAACUCAGCUCCAUCUACCUGCCUUUUCCCCAUAACCCAA